CGUAGGCGCGUGCAUGUGUGCCCCGGUCACAGCUCCUUUCAGCAUGGCCGGAGGAGAGGUGUACUGGCAGUCGCGUGACACACACAGAUCAGACACAUAUUUCUGUGUUGCAGAUGUGCAGUAAAGAGCCAAAGACCCAGUACUGUCUCCUGCCUCUUACUUUCACGCCAGAACACAACGCAAGAACAACAGGCGUAACACAUGAACGGGUUACACAUACUGAGGUGAGUUGUUGAGGAUAUGUCGAGCUGUUGAUGAGCACGGCUGGUUUUGUGCUCUUAUAUACUGUUAGCCUGUUUUGCUGGCGUUAGUGAAGCUGUUUUCAACUGGAUGUAACAUUGUUGAACUCUGAUGAUUAAUGAAUAAACUCUCGAUGUGACGACGUGAGCAUGUAAUUGUAACCCUGUGUUCAUUUAGUCGUUUAUUGUCACAUUGUGCGCCAUGUUAUUGUUUCGGUGAAAUGAAUUUCUACAAUGGCGGACUUAGACAAAAUAGUGUUACUGUUAAGACACAGACACUGCAAACCUCAUCUCUGGAGAAAAACCACAAGAACAACAUCCAAAAGAAAGAAAACAUACCUUAGAAACAUGCCGGGUUAGAGGAGACGGCAGCACUGCAGAGGUGAGGACAGGCAUCUGUUUGAAAUAGACAAAACAGUAAACAUAGUCAUACAGACUCAGAGACGCUUUCCAUCCAAUCUGUCUGAGUUUGAGCUGUUUUACAGUGAAGAAUGGGCAAAUAAUUCAGUCUCUAGAUGUGCAAAGCUGGUAGAGACGUACUCCAAAAGACCUGCAGGUGUAACUGGAGCAAAAUGUGGCUCUAUGAAGAGCAGGGGGUGAAUAGAAAAGAAUGACACACUUUUCCAAAUUUAAUUUGCUUAGAAUUUUGACAACCAUGUAUUAUUUUCAUACCACUUCACAAUUAUGUGCUACUUUGUGUUAAUCUACCAUUGAAACUGUCAAUAAAAACAUCUUUUGUUUGUGGUUGUAAGGUGACAAAAUGUGCACAAGUUCAAGGACUAUGAAUGCUUUUUCAAGGGACUGUAAUGUCAAAUCACCCCACAUGCACACAUCAGUGCACAGGCAUGUACACACAUGCAGAGUUACAUUAUCAAAGAAGCUAAAAAAACAAGCUCUGCUUUAACUUUUAACUAAAAAAAAAGACUGCAAACUUUAGGAACAAUAUGGAAUGAGUGAUAAUGUCAUCAUUCCAUGAAUUGAAAAAAUUUGUUUCACCUUAAAUCUUUUUUUCUUUUCUUAAUUGCAAAAACUGUAAAUUUGGCUCAAGGGGACCUGAAAGCCAGGAGACAAUUUAUUGACUUUGCCCACAAUCUUAUGAAGAAAAAGAUUUCCAAUAAAUAUUAACUCAUUCACUGCCAGCCAUUUUC